GUGCUGAACACAGAUGCCGUCCUUUGUACGGUUCGCGAUUUAUGUUGCUGGUACGUUUGUACUGCUUCAAGGGCUAAACGAGCUCGUUCCGCGGAUAAACGAAACGCUAGCUGCACGACGUGAGCACUACGCGAGACUCGAACGCGAGAUCCGGCGGCGGAGAGAGGCUGUGCGGGACGGGCGAGCCCAAACGCUAGGUACUGAUCCCGUUUCCGAGACAGCAGGAGGAGAGCCUGACACACCGAAAGUGCAAGAGGCGGCACCAUAGCCCACUUCUGUUCGACCUGGACCCUGGGAAGGGCAACUGCGCGAGUCGAGCUCCAGCUCGCGAGCAGAAGCACUCGUCGUUGUCGUACAGCGGAGGCAAGUCUGGCGCUGCUCCGACGCGUACAAGCACAGCAUAGGAUACUGUGCCCGGUAAGUGUGUGGUUACGAGCGGUUAGUCGAGAGCUUUUUAUGGAACCAGACCUGCGCCACGCAGACCCGAACGAGGACAACGCGUUGUUAUCCUGACAAACGCAGCCGUCGCUCGCACGAGGUCCUGGUGCUGUCCCGCCUGCCUGUCUACUUGCGGGUGUGCUUGCGUGCAUGCUCUAUUUGCUUGUCAGCUGGAUGGAUACGCACGGGCAUGCGUCACCGCAUAAAUAGAGCCGAUCGGUCCAUCUCCAGGUACAACGACACGCCUGGCGUGCACCAGGAACGCAGAUCAUCCGGAAGAAAAACGCGGCAUAUAGGCAGAUAAGACCUAUACUCCAGGUCUGUGGGAUGCCGUGUUUCGCCAUCUCCAGAUUCACGGACGUUGGACGUAUUAAUCGGUAGAAGGGGCCAGGCUGGUCGCCGCCGAGGAAGAUGAUGUCUUCUGCCUGCCACGUUGUGGAUGAUAUCGCAGCGCAACCUCAAUGGCUCGAGGCGGCCAGUGACGCUCGUUUCGAAGAAAGUUUUCGUCUUGAAAUCGGCGUGGGCGCUGCAACGCACCCCAUAGACCCUCUGCGUCACUGAGCAUGCCUCGGUCAUAAAGAAGGACUGCGUAGGCUGCUUUCACUUCAUCGGACUGGGCAAAACUCGGCUUACUCGCUACUCUGCGCAUGAUGCCGAGGGCAUCGGUGUCACGUCCGCGUUGGAAGAGCGUCAACGCAUAGUCUACCCAGAAGGGCUGCACAUCGCCCGGUCGUCGCUCCACAGCGCGUUGAUAGUCCAACAGGGCAGCAUCGUAUUUCGCCAGAUCCACAUAGACCAUUGCACGAUUUACAAGGAGCAGCGGCUCAUACGGACGAAUGCUCAGAGCUCGAUUCAUAUCGCGAAGCGCUUCCUGGUGGCGGCGAAGCGUUCGGUACACCGUAGCUCGAUUCAGGUAGAGGACCCAUAGCUCGCGCUCCAAACACGGGGCGUCAGCGUCCGUCAGCCGCUCGUCUCCGGUUGAUUCGUUUCCAGAUACCGUCUUGCAGAGCAACCGAAUCGCUUGUGUGUAGUCCGCGAGGGCCUGAUCGUACUGCCCCAGGCGACUGUAAAGGUUUGCGCGGUUAGCAUAUGCCCAGACGAGGCCUGGCUCGCGAUCGACGACCGAAGCGUAAAUCUUGAGGG
rnacentral:misc_RNA from 1 species